rnacentral:tRNA from 1 species
GCCUGUAUGGUCUAUCGGAUAUGACGCUGGAUUGUCGAUCCAGAAAGCAGGGUUCAACUCCCUGUACGGGCG